rnacentral:lncRNA from 1 species
AAACUGAGUGGGUCAGGCUUGGGAGCCUGGUGAGCAUAUAGGGUUUUCAACCCACAAUAAAUAAAUUAUAUUUAAUUUCACCAACCAAUCACUAUCCCGAUUACCCAUUCCCGUUAUCCUCACUUUACGUCCCUAAAACAACAUCUAUCUCAAGGGACCUAAUCUAGGAUUUUCAUCGGGACGGACAUCACUGCUAAGGGGUUUCCUCAACAAUAGAUAUCCUAAAGGCAACCAUGAGGGGGAUAGAGUACACCGGUGAACACAUCGUUCACAACACCUACAGGUUAUGAACCUGCUAGCGUUCCACUGGACUGUCUAGAAAGAGUCCGUGGUCGUUAUCCAUACUCCGCUGAAUAACUAGAUCAACAACAACAACAACAUCGAGGCCUCUCAUCUGUUUAUUACACACCAACUAUCUACCCAUGUUCUACCCAACAUAUUAGUAGAUAAAAAUAUAUAUUUUCAUACAUAGUUUAAAACCUGUAUAUCAUUUUCAAUCAAAACAUAUUCCACAUAACAGACGAGGCACACCCACAUAACACGUAUUUCAUAGAAAAUAAAUCAGAUCUAUGAGAUAGAAGAGAGUGAAUAUACAUUCACGCACAUAACAACAAAAUUAUACACAUAACACGUAUUUCGUAUAAAAUACUUCAUAAUUAUGCGUUAGAAGAAAGUAACUACACACUCACACAUAUAAACAACAAUAUACUUAAUACACUCGAACCAUACUUGUAUUAUUAUCGUGUUUAUGAAAGGUAGUAUACACUCACUUGAUCAGAAGAUGAUCGGACAGCACUACGACUUGCAGAAGUAGUAAUCCUCAGCAGAUCUGGAAGAUCUCUUCAAAAAUCGAACUUCUCGCGGGCAGAGCUUGUGCUCGGGAAUCGCACUUCUCGGGAUCUUCGGGCUUCGGGACUUGCUUCGGGUCUCGAGAAUAUUACCGGGGCUUCAGGAUACUUCUGGCACGCAAAUCGAGGUAAAACGAGAGAGAGAAGAGAGAAAAUGAACAAAAGAACCCGGCAGCCUCGCAUCCUAUUUAUAGGAGGCUGGAGCCUCGGAGUACGUUGGGCGUACGCCUGUACGCGGGGCGUACUCGUCCGAAAUCGUCAUGGCAUUCGUCAUCUGAAGAACUCGAGUGUGAAGGUCGUCAUACUUCGCUGUACGCGGGGCGUACAGCAGUACGCUGGGCAUAGUUCGGAUAUGCCCGGUGACUCCCCUUCAGAUAAUACCGAAUUUUAUAAUUAAAUUUAAAUACAAAUUAUUUAAUAAACAUUGGAAAUUCAUAUCUUCUUCAUAUGAACUCUAUUUUCGACAUUCUUUAUAUCCACGCGAAGGUGAGACUACGCUCUACAACUUUCGUUUAGACUCCGUCGGUUAAUUUUAACUUUAUUUUUAUUAUUUAUUUUUAAUAGGCCGGGACAGAAAAACUUCGUUAUAAAUUCAUAACUUCUUCGUUUGACGUCCGUUCUCGCCUAACUUUUCAUCGCUUCGAUACCAACAACGAGACCUUCGAUCCUCGUUUAGAUUGCUUCGGCUAAAAACCGCUCGAUCUCAAAUCGAGUAUUUCAGGCUGCAUACCGCUAAGCCGAAACUUCGAUAAAUCAUAACUUCCUCAUACGAAGUCAGAUUUAGGCGUUCUAUAUAUAUCCGGAAACCUCAUUUCAACUACUACAACAUUAUCCAAAGAUAUCAAGUUUAUUUUACACUUACAUUUUGACACUUAUUUUUAUUCUUAAUUAAUCAAACCACAUAAUUAAGAAAUUAAGCACAAAACACAUAAUACUCAAAUAAUACAAUCUUAUUAUUUCAAAACGGGUUACAAAGGUUAACCUAGACUAUUAUAUUGCUAAAAAUGGCAAGCCCGGAAACACAGGCGUUACAAUUCUCUCCACCUUAGAAUGAUUCCGUCCCCGGAAUCACACAUCAACAAACAAAUGCGGAUAGCGACUCAACAUGUCACUCUCCGUCUCCCAGGUGAGAUUCGGCCCAUUCGUGUGUUUCCAUCGGACAAGCACUAACCCAACCAUUUUGCGUCGCAACUUCUUAGUCUUUCGGUCAACAAUUGCCUCUGGUUCUUCAAUCAACCUUUUGUUCUCAUCAAUUCUCAAUUCAGAAAUUGGAAUUAUAUCGGGAACUUCUCCCGUGAACUUCCUCAAAUAACACACAUGAAAGGUGUUGUGAAUUCCAUUCAGUUCUUCGGGUAAUUCGAGCUUGUAAGCUUGAUUCCCAAUCCUCUGAAGGACUUUAAACGGUCCAAUAAACCUUGGACUCAACUUUCCCCUUUUACCAAAUCUUAUAAGUCCCUUCCACGGCGAGACUUUAAGCAAAACCGAAUCUCCAACCUCAAAAGUCAUCGGUCUUCGCUUCUUGUCAGCAUAGCUCUUUUGACGAUCUUGAGCUGCUAACAUUCUUUCCCUAAUUAUUUUCAACUUUUCAGCAGUUUGAUGAACCAUCUCCGGUCCCAUAAACUGCUUUUCCCCAGCCUCAAGCCAACAAGACGGCGUACGACACUUCUGUCCAUACAAAGCUUGAUAAGGUGCCAUCUUAAUGCUCGAGUGAAAACUAUUAUUAUAGGAAAAUUCUACCAACGGUAAAUGUUCAUCCCAAUUACCUAGGAAUUCCAAGGUACAUGCUCUCAGCAUAUCUUCAAGUGUUUGUAUUGUUCUUUCACUCUGACCAUCAGUCUGCGGAUGGUAAGCUGUGCUUAAACAUAACUUGGUACCCAUUUCCUCUUGUAGACUUUUCCAAAACCUUGAGGUGAAACGGCUAUCACGAUCCGAUACAAUCGUUAACGGAACACCGUGAAGCCUCACAAUUUCCUUCACGUAAGAAUUCGCAAGCUUUUCCAUAGACCAUUUCUCCCUGGCCGCUAUGAAAUGCGCACUCUUAGUGAAUCGAUCAACGACCACCCAAAUCAUGUCGUGACCAUUCUUUGUUCUGGGCAGUUUAGUGACAAAAUCCAUAGCAAUGUCUUCCCACUUACCCAUAGGCACAGGCAAUGGUUCUAAACUCCCGUAAGGUUUCUGAUGUUGUGUCUUGACUCUCGCACAAGUCACACACUCGGCCACAUACUUUGCAACAUCAAGCUUCAUCGUCGGCCACCAGUAGUAGGGUUUCAGGUCCCUAUACAUUUUAGUGCUACCCGGAUGAAUUGAGUACAUGGUUUUGUGAGCUUCUUCCAUCAGAAGAUCCCUAAUUCCUCCUGACUUAGGUACCCAAAUACGAUCUUGGAAUACCUUCAGUCCAUGACCGUUAGUACCAAACACCAACGUUUUACCCAAACGUUCCUCCUUUCGGUCAUUUUUCUCAGAAGCUUCCUCUUGAGCUUUCUUUAUACUUUCCACAAUGGUCGAGACAACUUCAAUUCUCAACGCUCUUGGCCUCUUCCUUUCAAGAUUGACUUUCCGACUGAGAGCAUCAGCAACAACAUUAGCUUUACCGGGGUGGUAAAGUAUCUCGCAGUCGUAGUCUUUAAGUAAUUCUAGCCAGCGUCGUUGCCUCAUAUUCAAUUCUUUCUGAUUAAAGAGGUAUUGGAGACUCUUAUGAUCAGUGAAAAGUUUGCACUUCGUGCCAUAGAGGUAAUGCCUCCAUAUUUUCAGAGCGAAAACUACCGCUGCCAACUCCAAAUCAUGAGUCGGGUAGUUCUUUUCAUGCUCUUUCAGCUGUCGAGACGCAUAUGCUAUCACCUUUUCUCUUUGGGUCAAAACACAACCCAAUCCAACCCUAGACGCAUCGCUAUAAACAGCGAAGUCUUCAACUCCAUCGGGUAGAGAAAGUAUCGGUGCCUCGCAUAGCUUUUUCUUUAGCUUCUCGAAUGCUUCUUUAUGCUUAUCAUUCCACGCAUAAGUAGCUCCUUUGUGGGUAAAAGUUGUUAACGGAGUAGCAAUCGAAGAAAAACCUUGGAUAAACCUUCGGUAAUAUCCGGCUAAUCCUAAAAAGCUUCGAAUCUCCGUGGGACUUUUUGGUUGCUCCCACUUCAUCACAGCUUCAAUCUUUGUUGGAUCAACCAUUAUACCUUCUUGGUUGACCACGUGACCCAAGAAUUGGACUUCUCGAAUCCAAAAAUCACAUUUGGAGAACUUAGCAUACAACUUCUCCUUCUUCAAGUCUUCUAACACUUCUCGCAAGUGUCUGCCAUGCUCCUCUUGGCUUAAUGAAUAACUCAGAAUGUCAUCUAUGAACACUAUCACAGAUUUAUCAAGGAAAGGAUUACAAAACUUAUUCAUUAAAUCCAUGAAUGUUGCUGGAGCAUUGGUUCGUCCAAACGACAUAACCAAAAACUCGUAGUGUCUAUAUCGGGUUCUGAAUGCAGUCUUUUCUAUAUCCUGCUCUCUUACAUUCAGCUGAUGAUAGACCUUAGGUCGACCUUUGAAAAAUAGCUUGAACCUUGCAAUUGAUCAAACAUGUCAUCAAUCCUUGGCAACGGAUAUCUAUUCUUUAUUGUUGCCUUGUUCAGCUCUCUGUAAUCAAUGCACAUCCUCAUGCUUCCAUCUUUCUUCUUUACGAAUAACACCGGAGCUCCCCAGGGUGAUGAACUAGGUCUAAUGAAACCCUUGUCCAACAACUCCUGAAGUUGCAUCAUCAGCUCCUUCAUCUCCGUUGGUGCUAAUCGGUAAGGUGCUUUUGCAAUUGGCGUUGUUUUGGGCAACAAGUCAAUACGAAGUUCCACUUGUUGAUCAGGCGGUAAUCCAGGAAGAUCUUUGGGAAAUACUUCCGGAUAAUCACACACAACGGAAUAUUCUGCAUCACCUUCUUUUCCUUCUUAGCAUCGAUCACGAAUGCUAAGUGUUGGGUUGAAGAUUCGUUUUGAAGAUUGCGUCAUUGGGCUCGGCUGUUAGUCCAUUUGUUUUGUGCUCCGGUUUGGGCCUGUCCAACCGUGAGCUUGUUACGUUUACUAUAUAAGUAUAUGCUUGCAUGCAUAUUAGGUUAACGAUNNNNNNNNNNNNNNNNNNNNNNNNNNNNNNNNNNNNNNNNNNNNNNNNNNNNNNNNNNNNNNNNNNNNNNNNNNNNNNNNNNNNNNNNNNNNNNNNNNNNGUUCGGGUUCGGUUUUUCAAAUUUUUCCAAAGUUUUUUUUUUACUUUUUCCAAGUCUUACUUUUUCUUUGCUUAUUUUUUUAUUAUUUUAUUUUCUUUUAUUUUUUAUUUUUUUUAUUAUAUAUCAAAAACUCCAAAAAUAUUCUCUUGUUUAUUUUUUUUCUCUAUAUCAAAAACUCAAAAAUAUUUUCUUAUUUAAUUUAUGUGCUCGUUUGUAUAUGGGGAUAUAAAUGUUGGAUUACUUAAUUGUCCCUAGAAGCAUGCUGCUGUAUGCGUCCCAAGCCUCAUAAGAUUCUGAAUAAUAGCCUUAAUGACUUGGUAUAAACAAACCUUGUCUUCCCAAUUAGGCUAUCACAUUUAUUCUAAUCGUGAGCUACCUCACUCUCUUCUCACAUGAGAUAAGAGUUUUUCUGCUUGGUCCUUAUUUUCGCAGCAGAGGUAAUUUAAUUUCUUACACCAUCUCCAUUACAUUUCUCCAUUACAUUCGUUUAUCAACGUAACCCUUGAGACUCUCAGAAAUUACCACUGAGGUUUAUGGUUACACAACAACUGUGUUUAUGAUCUCAAUUUCGUGCCACUAUGAGCUGAGUGAAACCCAAAAUUCAACACCAAAUCUGAAUUGACGGUGAACAAUAAAUUUGCUCAAGUUUUCACCAACGAAUUGACGGAUGUAUCCUACUGAAAUCUCAAAUUUUUUAUUUUGUGUGAUUCCUAUGAAAUUGUUAAACACCAUAACAUUUCUUCCCUUGGGAUCCAGUUUUUAAUUUUUUCUGAGAUUUUAUAUUUUCCAAGCCAAUUUAAAAUUAAUUCCUACCUACUUGUUCAACAGACUACACCGGUCUCACAAGUACUUUGUUCACUUUCUUUCUUAUUUCAAGAUUAGAAUUGUUGAAUCAAAGCGAAAGCCACCCUCAUGUAGCCUAAUUAAAAGAAGCCUUUCAACGUUUAUUAAUAAAUGAUUGAUCGUCAUUUAACGGGAAACCACAUUAACACUUUAAGGUCUCUCUUGAUCUUGAAGGAAGAGAUUCGUGCCCGGGAUCAUUUGUUUCGUGUCAUUAUUGACAUCACAGUCAUUCCUAAAAAGAGUUGUUUUAUUUCUUUUUUUUUUUACACUCUUAGCACGAAAAUCUUUGAUUUUCCAAAAUUCUGGUACUAACAAUUACAGGCUGUAUUAUUGCUUUGGUGGUUAAUUAUCAAGUUGUGGUCAAAAAUCAUCCACAUGGGCAAUUAAUUCAAAAGAUGCCAUUUCAAAGAUCAGACGAAGGGUUGCUGACUCAGGCGGGAGAUCAAAGGAUUAAAAUUUCAAACGACGGUUAAAAAGGGGACGCAUGCGAAUUUGAAACGCCCAUUCUUUUACUGACAUAAUGGACGCGUGUGCGAAUUUCAAGCGGUUCCUCUCUGGCACUUAAAGGCGCGUGUGGAUUUGAAACGGUUUGUUCUGAAACGGCGCUUGUUGGGCGGCGUGUUCCUAGGAAUCUGACACUCUCUCUCCUACGUGAUCAUCGCAUGCCUUAACUGUCACGCAUCUGUCAUUCCGGAAAACCUUUUCGUAUUUCCAUAGAAGNUCUCCUUUCACCCACUAUAAAAGGCAGUCUACACUCCCAUUUACCUCUUUACUGCAUCCGAAUUUCCAAGAGAGCAAAAACUCCCAAACGCUUUCCUGUUCAUCUUCUUCUUCCAACCUUCAACAAUGGCAGAAUCCUCCUCAGUCCAUGCCACAUCACACAUCCUUCCCAUUCGCCCACAACAAUGCUUGGUGAUUGACCUCACUCCUCUGUCGUACGAUUCCUAUAUGACUCCGAUCAUCGAGUGCCUGAAGUACUCACAGUUCGCUCCUGCACUUACUAGAGUUGAGUCUGUGCCCAUGGAGAUUCUCUCGCAGGUAUAUGCGACUGCACAUUACGAUAAAGCAGUCGAGCGGGUGUUCUUCNNNNNNNNNNNNNNNNNNNNNNNNNNNNNNNNNNNNNNNNNNNNNNNNNNNNNNNNNNNNNNNNNNNNNNNNNNNNNNNNNNNNNNNNNNNNNNNNNNNNUUUAAGAUCUAAUCGAUCUUCUAGAUUAAGUUUUAAUCUCAUCACUAAGUAUGAUGUACACCCCAUGGUCAAACAUUUUCUGGCUUUCAUCAGAGAAAUGAUCCCAAAAUUUACUCUUCGUUUAUCUCCAUACACCAUAAACGAUUCCUUCCCAGUCGGGUUUACUUUAACUAUCUUCUUCUUGCAUAAAAUUUCGGCAUCAUUGGCGCUAAGCCAAUCCAUUCCCAAAACGAUGUCGAAACCAUUAAGUUCGAUAGGCAAUAAUUCCUCGUGGAACUUAUUCCCAUUCAGAUCAAUUAAGAUGUUUUUCAUACGAUGGCUAACAGGUACAAACUUGCCACUAGCAACUUCAACUGAUAAAGCAUUAUCUAGUCUAUCAACAGGAAAAGCUAGUUUUCUACCAAAUUCAUUCGAUAUAAAGGAGUAGUUGGCUCCAGAAUCAAAUAAAAUUUCGGUACGCAAAUUGUUAACGAGAAAGGUACCUGAAGCGACAUCAGCUUCAUCUUUAGCAGCUUCCAGUGUCAUCUGGAAGGCUCUCUCCUUCGGCUUUGAUGGAAUGUUGGGUCUAGCUGCCUCCUUCUUCUUCGGGCAGUACCUCGACAUGUGUCCCUGCUCACCACAACCAUAGCAAACCUUCUUAGAGAGGGUGCAUUCAUUGGCAUAGUGCCCUGGCUUUCCACAUUUGUAGCAUGUGGUCGCUACCUCACAUUUUCCAUGAUGCUUCUUCUUACAUUUGUUGCACCAUUUCGCUUCGCCUCCACUUCCCCUCGAACCAGACUUUGAGAACUUGUUUUUCUUAUUGGACCCUGAAGUUCCAUCGAACUUCCUCUUUUCACCAACUUUUAUCCUUUCCAGACCCUUUUCCUUCUGCUGGGCCUCCACAUUCUUACUGCACGAACAGCCGUUUUCAGAGUAGUUGCCAUCUUGACUAUCGGACCAAAGUCGGCAGGCAGUACAUUAGCAAACCUCUCAAUCUUGGAGAGUUCCGUUGGCACUAGGUAUGGAAAUAACUUCAUUUUCUCAGUGAAUGCAGUAGCAUAGUCAUCUAUGCUCAUCCUCCCCUUCUUCAAGUUUUGGAACUCAUUGUUCAGAUCAAUCAGAUCUAUCUCUGAACAAUACUGCACCCUUAACUGUUCCAAGAACUCCUCCCAUGACAUUUUCAGGGCUUCUCCUCGUGGCAUAGUAUCUGCCAACAACUUCCACCAACUCAAGACUCCAAUCUUCAGUUGUCUAACUGCAAAGACUAUCUUCUGCUUGUUGCUACAGUCGCAACUUUCAAAUACCAUCUCCAUUUCGGAGAUCCAAUCCAUUAUCUCAACAGACUUUGGGCUUCCAGAAAGACUUGGCGGCUUGGCUCCCAAGAAAUUCUUGUACAUUCGCCCAUCCUUGUUGUUUCUCCUUUCCGGAUCGUUCCUUCGUUCUCCUUGAGUCCCAACUUGACUCAUCAUGCGACUAUUGUUCCCUUCCUCCGAUUGCUCGGGAAUCAAUUCAGGUUCCUCAAUAGGUAUGAUAGGUUCAUCCCUAUUAUCAUGCAACAUUUGUCGCAUCUCCUCCCUUUGUUCGGCUAGCAUAGCCCGAAUCAUGGCUUGCACCGCAGCCAUUGUUAUUGGUUCUGGUGCUGCUGCUACAACAGGUAUUUGCUCAAUCACUGGCGGUUGAUUCCUGUUUUCAUCUGCGUUUCCAACGCCACUCCUUGUUCUCACCAUUUUUGAUCUACACACCGAAUAAUUUCACCUUAUUACUCCAAACGAUUACAUGCUAGUUCUAAUAUCGUAUACAUACGCUUAGAAUCCUAAACACAUAAACCUUCAGAUCCGGUUGGCAACAAACCGUAGAUCCGAACAAAUAAUAUCAUAUAUGGCAACAUAUAACAUUUAGCACAUAAAAGCAUUUUAGGCAACUUUCCUAAAAUAAACUAGUGCUCGUGUCUAAAAUCCAACAGACACACAUCUCAACAUUCCACUUAGCAUUCUAAGUUUAAGUCUAGAAAUCCUACAAAUUCCUAGUUCGCUUAAACUAAUGCUCUGAUACCAACUGUGACAUCCCCAAAAUCUCGGCCAGAAAAGACCGAUUUUCAUUUAUGCUUUUAAAUAUUUUCAGAGUAAAUCCUUUUGAUUUGAAAGAGUUGCGGAAUUUGUUCCCAAAACAAAACAUGAUAAAAUAAUAUUUAUCAAAGCAUUUCAUCAAGAGAUGCAUUUUCAUUAUAUAAUCAAAACUCGGGAUGUCAUGUUCCGAUACAGACCAUAAAGCAUAAACGAUAACAUUACAAGUCAUUCAACAAAUAUAUACAUAUACAGACUUGUAAACAAAACAACUCGAUGAUUCAUCCAUAUUACGCCCUUGCGCCACUUCCUGUAAUACAAAUAAAACUGAGUGGGUCAGGCUUGGGAGCCUGGUGAGCAUAUAGGGUUUUCAACCCACAAUAAAUAAAUUAUAUUUAAUUUCACCAACCAAUCACUAUCCCGAUUACCCAUUCCCGUUAUCCUCACUUUACGUCCCUAAAACAACAUCUAUCUCAAGGGACCUAAUCUAGGAUUUUCAUCGGGACGGACAUUACUGCUAAGGGGUUUCCUCAACAAUAGAUAUCCUAAAGGCAACCAUGAGGGGGAUAGAGUACACCGGUGAACACAUUGUUCGCAACACUUACAGGUUAUGAACCUGCUAGCGUUCCACUGGACUGUCUAGAAAGAGUCCGUGGUCGUUAUCCAUACUCUGCUGAAUAACUAGAUCAACAACAACAACAACAUCGAGGCCUCUCAUCUGUUUAUUACACACCAACUAUCUACCCAUGUUCUACCCAACAUAUUAGUAGAUAAAAAUAUAUAUUUUCAUACAUAGUUUAAAACCAGUAUAUCAUUUUCAUUCAAUACAU